UGUGAGAUAAUUCUCAGGGUGGAC
rnacentral:piRNA from 1 species